UUUCGAUAUAUUAUAUAAAUCUAUUUGCGAGUGAGAUUUUUGUUUAUUUAUAUAAGUUUGGAUGUUUUCCUCAUUUUUUAUUUAGAACCUGUGAUAAAGUCGGUGAUUAGCACGAGUUUUUUUAUUUUCUAUUUAAGAAUUUAUCUUGGAAAUUAUAUGUAAAAAAAAAAAGAUAUAUAAACAGAGAUUAAGAUGAAUGUUUUUGACUGGAAGUAGAUUUUACACUUCAGAGUAUGUGUGUUUUUUCUCGUAUGGCAAAGGCUAACUUCCUUAAUUCAUAGAUUCUUAAGAAAAAGUUUUGUUUAGCUUAUCUAAACCACAUAUUUUAAUCUUUAAUGACCUCGUUUAUUCUAUUCCGACAUUCCAUAAAUAGUGAACUUGCAUAUUUAGAGUAAUUUUAAAUUCAUAUUAAGCUGUGGAUGAUUUCGCAUUUUGCCAAAGAACGAGUUGAUAUUAUAGUUAAUGUAAACAUAUCAACAUAUUUUCUACUGGCUUUAGAUAUUUCAUUUACCAUAGGUGGAUAUCUAUGAAAAUCAUUAAUAGUAUAUGUUAAAGAACCUUUAGUUAUUUAUUACUUUGGUUGAUGAUUGACGCCUUUGUGUUGACAUGGGCAAUGUAACAUUUACAUUGCCGUACCUUUUAACAAUAGUUAGUUUAAGUGUGUUUUUUAGGCUUUAAGCACAUUAAUUUUUACCUCGUGAUCAAAGUUGUUUGCUUUUUUUUUUCCAAGUCACAAAUGGAAUACAAAAUAUGAUUAUCGAAGUUUAUAUAUUUAGAGAGAAUGUGUAGCAAAGGGUUGUUCAGUGCCAUGAGCAUCCAACCCCGUGUAUUGCGCAGAUCUUCAGUGCCGUGGCCUGACUGUCUAACUUUCUUUCGCCAAUACUAUCGAGAUGAGCACCAUGGCUCCCGAGUCCCUUGGGUUCACUUGGCCAACAUGCGGAAUAACGGAAAUUGCACUAUGCCCAUUGCAGGAGUAUCUGCUACAGCAGGAAUAUAUAAAUUCACCUUCAAUAAGUGCCAGUCAUUACCAAAAGUGCUGUAUGGUUGUUAUCAUUUAACAGAUUGUUGUAUCAUUAUACUGCGCAGUGUUGUUUAUAUUUUGAAUGUAUUCUAUCGAUAAUAUUUGAAAGUGCAUUUACAUUUUAAUAAAUAAUUUAUCCAUUGCC